CCAAUAGCGUAUAUUAAAGUUGUUGCAGUUAAAAAGCUCGUAGUUGAAUUUCGGGGUUAGUAGGUUGGUCAUGCCUCUGGUAUGUACUGGUCUCACUGAUUCCUCCUUCCUGAUGAGCCGUAAUGCCAUUAAUUUGGUGUUGCGGGGAAUUUGGACUGUUACUUUGAAAAAAUUAGAGUGUUUAAAGCAAGCUAACGCUUGAAUACAUUAGCAUGGAAUAAUGAAAUAGGACGUUCGAUCCUAUUUUGUUGGUUUCUAGGAUUGACGUAAUGAUUAAUAGGGAUAGUUGGGGGCAUUAGUAUUCAAUUGUCAGAGGUGAAAUUCUUGGAUUUAUUGAAGACUAACUACUGCGAAAGCAUUUGCCAAGGAUGCUUUCAUUAAUCAAGAACGAAAGUUAGGGGAUCGAAGACGAUCAGAUACCGUCGUAGUCUUAACCAUAAACUAUGCCGACUAGGGAUCGGAUGAUGUUAAUUUUUUAAUGACUCAUUCGGCGCCUUACG
rnacentral:rRNA from 1 species